GCAGAAGUAGUUCGGCGGUAGAAUACAACCUUGCCAAGGUUGGGGUCGCGGGUUCGAAUCCCGUCUUCUGCUCCA
rnacentral:tRNA from 1 species